AGGAAGGUCUAAUUCAGAAACAGAAAAAAGUACUUAUUAAAGUAAAUCUGUUUCCAAAGAAGAUUGAGGAGGGUAUGGACGGAGAGAAGGAUGAGGUGGCAUCUUGGGGUAAAGUUGGAAGGGGACUGCAUUGAUGAUAUCCCAAAUGGGUUGGGACAGAUAGCUGGAAGAGGUAAAUGACAUGUCCCCAUCACAUUCCAAGACAAACUACUCUCUCUCUCUCUCAAUCAAAUCCCAUUUUGAAUUCUUUUUACCAAAAUUAAAAAAAAAAAGAAAAAGAAAAAUGCCAUUUUCAAUUCUCACUUUUCCUGUUUGUUACCAUCCUCCAUUUGCAUUUUGCAACAGUGACUUGUACUCCAAGCCCCCACUUCCUUUUUAUCUCUCCAAUCCCUCUCUUACUUUUUGAGCUACUUAUUCUCAUUUUGAGCUUCAUCUAUUGUUUUUUUUUUUUAGGUUUACAAAGUGGAAACACACAUUUGGAUUAAUUUUUGGUUAGUAUUUUGAUAAUUAUUUUCAGAAGUUGGGACUGUUUUGGGACAGAAUGAUAUAAAUUACCUUUUUUUUUUCAAACUGUUUUGAAAAACUUGUAAGUUGGUGUUUUAGUCCUAUGAGGUUAAGACUUAAAUAUAGACCGAAAGCAAAGCAAGCAAAGUUGACAUUUUUCAUUAUGUUUCAAUAAAAUUGUGACCUCGAAAGACAGACCUAAUGCUUGUGAACAGUUUUUAACUUUCUCCUUACACAUCCUAUUUGUUAUCCCGACAAAACCUUCCUCUAGAUCCUCAUGCCACCGCCUCUUUAAAAUAGUUUUAAGGCACUUUGAAAAGGGUGUUUUUUUUUUUUUUUUUUUUUAAAAUUCUCUUUUGCCUUUAUAUUGUUCUUUUUUUAUACUACUAAUGUCUAAAUACCAAUUUCGAUACAAUUACUUGGUGAGUAUUUUUGCAAAUUGAAAACCCAAUCUCUUAAAAUGAUAGAUUUCAUAAUCAAACAUUUUUAUAAUUUACACAUUCUAAAGGGAGAUGAAAAGCAUGCGUAGAUCCAAAGCCCAAAUGAAGCUUGAGAGUGAGUGAGAGACAUGUAUGUCUCAAAGUAAGGAACAAUGGAGAAUAACAACAGCAUGGACCGCUUGGUUCCUAUGCAGAGUGAUUUCCAAGCUACCACCGCCAAGGAAACACCAAAAGCAUCUGGUUAGGGAUGGGCAUUUUAUCUCAAAGGACCACAUGGUCCCAGAAUCCUUUUUGGCUUGGAAAAAGGCUAGGGGAGGCUGACCUUUCCAAUGGGGUUUUCUUUUCUUUGUCUUUUUUUCCCUCUAUUUAUUCUUCCAUUUUUUGGAUUUAUUUUUUUUUUAUUUGCUUUAUUUAUUUCUUGUUAAUCAUAAUAGUUGAAGAAGGAAGUGGUUCAUGAACUGGGUGGUGGGUGGGUGUAUCUCCUUUAGCUACUCUUCAUCCCCACAAGCUUUGUCUUCUUUGUAGUGGUUGUGAGGUCCACCACAUGUGAUCUUCAUCUCCGUGGAACUACUUGUCUUAUCAUCACUGUCUUCCCUGUAAUUAGUUGCUACUUUUUAUUUUCUAAGAAAAACUUAAAUCUAUUGAAUUUUUAAUCA